rnacentral:rRNA from 1 species
UACGGAGGGGGCUAGCGUUGUUCGGAAUUAUUGGGCGUAAAGGGCUCGUAGGCGGUUUGUCACGUCGGGAGUGAAAACUCAGGGCUUAACCCUGAGCCUGCUUCCGAUACGGGCAGACUAGAGGUAUGCAGGGGAGAACGGAAUUCCUGGUGUAGCGGUGAAAUGCGCAGAUAUCAGGAGGAACACCGGUGGCGAAGGCGGUUCUCUGGGCAUUACCUGACGCUGAGGAGCGAAAGUGUGGGGAGCGAACAGG